UGCUCUGUCUGGUGUUUCCACCCAGCAGCAUCGUCCUCAUGAGGUGUUCAACAAGCUCUGCUACAGCAGUGCAGCGUUUGGCAGCAGUAGUUUUUGUUCCCCCGUGUCUGUUAAACCUGCUAUUUCUUUUGGAACAGUC